rnacentral:rRNA from 1 species
CCUACGGGAGGCAGCAGUGAGGAAUAUUGGUCAAUGGGCUUACGCCUGAACCAGCCAAGUCGCGUGAGGGAAGACUGCCCUAUGGGUUGUAAACCUCUUUUGUCAGGGAGCAAUUGGCGCUACGUGUAGCGUUCUCGAGAGUACCUGAAGAAAAAGCAUCGGCUAACUCCGUGCCAGCAGCCGCGGUAAUACGUAGGGGGCAAGCGUUAUCCGGAUUUACUGGGUGUAAAGGGAGCGUAGACGGUGCGCCAAGUCUGGAGUGAAAUGCCGCAGCUUAACUGCGGAACUGCUUUGGAAACUGGCGAACUAGAGUGCGGGAGGGGUAAGCGGAAUUCCUAGUGUAGCGGUGAAAUGCGUAGAUAUUAGGAGGAACACCGGUGGCGAAGGCGGCUUACUGGACCGUAACUGACGUUGAGGCUCGAAAGCGUGGGGAGCAAACAGGAUUAGAUACCCGAGUAGUC